rnacentral:rRNA from 1 species
CCUACGGGUGGCAGCAGUGGGGAAUAUUGCACAAUGGGGGAAACCCUGAUGCAGCGACGCCGCGUGAGCGAUGAAGUAUUUCGGUAUGUAAAGCUCUAUCAGCAGGGAAGAAGAUGACGGUACUUGAGGAGGAAGCCCCGGCUAACUACGUGCCAGCAGCCGCGGUAAUACGUAGGGGGCUAGUGUUAUCCGGAAUUACUGGGCGAAAGGGGUGCGUAGGUUGUUUCUUAAGUCAGAGGUGAAAGGCUACGGCUCAAGCGUAGUAAGCCUUUGAAACUGGGAAACUUGAGUGCAGGAGAGGAGAGUGGAAUUCCUAGUGUAGCGGUGAAAUGCGUAGAUAUUAGGAGGAACACCAGUUGCGAAGGCGGCUCUCUGGACUGUAACUGACACUGAGGCACGAAAGCGUGGGGAGCAAACAGGAUUAGAUACCCCGGUAGUC